GGGAAAGGGGGGGAUCCUUCGGGACCUCUCCCUAUUGGAGCGGCCGAUGUCGGAUUAGCUAGUUGGUGGGGUAAAGGCCUACCAAGGCGACGAUCCGUAGCUGGUUUGAGAGGACGACCAGCCACACUGGGACUGAGACACGGCCCAGACUCCUACGGGAGGCAGCAGUGGGGAAUUUUGGACAAUGGGGGAAACCCUGAUCCAGCCAUCCCGCGUGUGCGAUGAAGGCCUUCGGGUUGUAAAGCCCUUUUGUUGGGGAAGAAAUCCUGCUGGCUAAUACCCGGCGGGGAUGACGGACC
rnacentral:rRNA from 1 species